rnacentral:rRNA from 1 species
AUUCCAGCUCCAAUAGCGUAUAUUUAAGUUGUUGCAGUUAAAAAGCUCGUAGUUGGAUUUCGGAUGUGAACGACCGGUCCGCCGUUGCGGUGUGCACUGGACGUUUGUAUCUUGUUGUCGGGGACGCGCACCUUGCCUUAACUGGUCGGGACGCGGAGUCGGCGCUGUUACUUUGAAAAAAUUAGAGUGUUCAAAGCAGGCAACCGCUCUGAAUACAUUAGCAUGGAAUAACGCUAUAGGACUCUGGUCUUAUUGUGUUGGUCUUCGAGACCGGAGUAAUGAUUAAGAGGGACAGUUGGGGGCAUUCGUAUUUCAUUGUCAGAGGUGAAAUUCUUGGAUUUAUGAAAGACGAACUUCUGCGAAAGCAUUUGCCAAGGAUGUUUUCAUUA